AGCAUAUAAGUAAGCGGGGGAAAAGGAACUAAAUAGGAUUCCCUCAGUAAUGGCGAAUGAACAGGGAUGAGCUCAGGCUGGAAACCGAUACAUCUGUGUCGGGCUGUAGCCUGCAGGCAUAGCGCUAUCGGCGGCUCGAGCGCAAGCCUCUUGGAAUAGAGCGUGUGCCCGGGUGAGAAUCCUGCAUUUCGCUCGAUGUCCGCUGUCCACAGUGCUUGUCCUGAGAGUCACGCUCCUCGGAAUUGGAGCGUAAAUCAGGUGGUAAGUUUCAUCCAAAGCUAAAUAGAAGCUCGAGACCAAUAGCAAACAAGUACCAUGAGGGAAAGAUGAAAAGGACUUUGGAAAGAGAGUUAAAAGUGUUUGAAAUUGCUGAGAGCGAAGCGAACGGAGCCACAUGUCGUGCUGAGAUUGCUGUGGGUCUUUGUGAGCCUUGAGCAUGUAAGCGCAAGCUGACUGCUUAUGUGUGAGCAUUUGCCCGCAGUGUUUCUCAGCAUGCGAGUCAUUAGCCACAUUUGUUUGAGGAUGGCCUUCAGCUCACAUGGUACACUUGUUAGUGUUCCUCUGUGCGGUGUGGGACUCAGACAGGUGUGGCUUGUUGACCCAGUGGUUUUUUUCGACCCGUCUUGAAACACGGACCAAGGA
rnacentral:rRNA from 2 species